rnacentral:ncRNA from 1 species
AAAGGCUUGGUCCUGACUUUUCUGUCCUCUCUAGCUAAAUUUAUACAUGCAAGUAUCCGCCCUCCUGUGAGGAUGCCCGGACAGCCCCCCGCCCGGGGGCAAGGAGCUGGUAUCAGGCACUUUUAACUAGUAUCGCCCACGACGCCUUGCUUAGCCACACCCCUAAGGGUAUUCAGCAGUAAUAGACAUUAAGCUAUAAGUGAAAACUUGACUUAGUCAAAGCUAUUAGGGCCGGUAAAACUCGUGCCAGCCACCGCGGUUAUACGAGAGGCCCAAGAGGACAGACGCCGGCGUAAAGAGUGGUUAAGUAAGCCCCCAAUAAAACUAAAGCCGAACGCCCUCAAAAUUGUUAUACGUUCAUUCGAGGCUGCGAAGCUCAACUACGAAAGUGACUUUAAACCAAAACUGACCCCACGAAAGCUGUGGAACAAACUGGGAUUAGAUACCCCACUAUGCUCAGCCCUAAACCUUGAUAGUCUGACUACCCUCACUAUCCGCCCGGGUACUACAAGCACCAGCUUCAAACCCAAAGGACUGGGCGGUGCUUAAGAUCCACCUAGAGGAGCCUGUUCUAGAGCCGAUAAUCCCCGUUCAACCUUACCCUCCCUUGUUAAUUAACCGCCUAUAUACCGCCGUCGUCAGCUUACCCUGUGAAGGACCAAUAGUAAGCAAAAUCAGUAGGACUCAAAACGUCAGGUCGAGGUGUAGCGCAUGAGAGGGACAGAAAUGGGCUACAUUUCCUAACCAGGAAAUACGAAUAAUGGACUGAAAUAAACAUUUGAAGGAGGAUUUAGCAGUAAGUAAAGAACAGAGUGCUUUACUGAAAUUGGCACUAAAGCAUGCACACACCGCCCGUCACUCUCCCCGAGACAAACAUCACCCGAUACUUAAUUUCCCCUAUCAGCAUAGAGGGGAGGCAAGUCGUAACAUGGUAAGUGUACCGGAAGGUGCACUUGGU